rnacentral:lncRNA from 1 species
UGAGGUCAGGGGGACUGUCGAACAAAGACCCACGGGGAGCUGCUGGCAGGACAGACAAGCAACCAGCAGCCCAAUUACACAGUGGCCAAGGCGCAGGGACACCUCCCAGCUGGCUCCCUCAGCUGCCUGGCUUUUCUCUAAGCCUUUUCUCCUAAUCCUCCUGAUCUCUUUACAACUCACCUGCCCGCAGCCCAGCUGGGUGACUUCUAACUGGGAUUUCUCCAAGAGGCUUACCUGGCCCUUCCUGGACUUGGCCCAGAGCGCCUUCCACCAUCCGGGAUGCUCCCUCCAGCUGGGGCAAAGGAGGGGACGGAGUUUUAUUUCUUCCUGUAUUUCUCCGGUCUUCCCUAAAGAAAAACAAAACAAAAUAAAACUUUUGUCUUUUU